GAUGAAACGCUGGCGGCGUGCCUAAUACAUGCAAGUCGAGCGAACAGACGAGGAGCUUGCUCCUCUGACGUUAGCGGCAGACGGGUGAGUAACACGUGGAUAACCUACCUAUAAGACUGGGAUAACUUCGGGAAACCGGAGCUAAUACCGGAUAAUAUAUUGAACCGCAUGGUUCAAUAGUGAAAGACGGUUUUGCUGUCACUUAUAGAUGGAUCCGCGCCGCAUUAGCUAGUUGGUAAGGUAACGGCUUACCAAGGCAACGAUGCGUAGCCGACCUGAGAGGGUGAUCGGCCACACUGGAACUGAGACACGGUCCAGACUCCUACGGGAGGCAGCAGUAGGGAAUCUUCCGCAAUGGGCGAAAGCCUGACGGAGCAACGCCGCGUGAGUG
rnacentral:rRNA from 1 species